CGGCAGCACGGACUUCGGUCUGGUGGCGAGUGGCGAACGGGUGAGUAAUGUAUCGGAACGUGCCUAGUAGCGGGGGAUAACUACGCGAAAGCGUAGCUAAUACCGCAUACGCCCUACGGGGGAAAGCAGGGGAUCGCAAGACCUUGCACUAUUAGAGCGGCCGAUAUCGGAUUAGCUAGUUGGUGGGGUAACGGCUCACCAAGGCGACGAUCCGUAGCUGGUUUGAGAGGACGACCAGCCACACUGGGACUGAGACACGGCCCAGACUCCUACGGGAGGCAGCAGUGGGGAAUUUUGGACAAUGGGGGAAACCCUGAUCCAGCCAUCCCGCGUGUGCGAUGAAGGCCUUCGGGUUGUAAAGCACUUUUGGCAGGAAAGAAACGUCCCGGGCUAAUACCCUGGGAAACUGACGGUACCUGCAGAAUAAGCACCGGCUAACUACGUGCCAGCAGCCGCGGUAAUACGUAGGGUGCAAGCGUUAAUCGGAAUUACUGGGCGUAAAGCGUGCGCAGGCGGUUCGGAAAGAAAGAUGUGAAAUCCCAGAGCUUAACUUUGGAACUGCAUUUUUAACUACCGAGCUAGAGUGUGUCAGAGGGAGGUGGAAUUCCGCGUGUAGCAGUGAAAUGCGUAGAUAUGCGGAGGAACACCGAUGGCGAA
rnacentral:rRNA from 1 species